rnacentral:rRNA from 1 species
UGGGGGAUAUUGCACAAUGGGCGAAAGCCUGAUGCAGCGACGCCGCGUGGGGGAUGAAGGCCUUCGGGUUGUAAACUUCUUUUGCUCUGAACAAGGCAUGCCUUUGGGGUGUGUUGAGUGUAGGGGUUGAUUAGCGCCGGCUAACUACGUGCCAGCAGCCGCGGUAAUACGUAGGGCGCGAGCGUUGUCCGGAAUUAUUGGGCGUAAAGGGCUUGUAGGUGGCUGGUUGCGUCUGUCGUGAAAGCUCAUGGCUUAACUGUGGGUUUGCGGUGGGUACGGGCUGGCUUGAGUGCAGUAGGGGAGGCUGGAAUUCCUGGUGUAGCGGUGGAAUGCGCAGAGAUCAGGAGGAAUACCGGUGGCGAAGGCGGGUCUCUGGGCUGUUACUGACGCUGAGGGGCGAAAGCGUGGGGAGCGAACAGG